rnacentral:rRNA from 1 species
GCCAAUACUAGCCCNCAAGNNCAUAAUCAACACUAAUAACAAACCAACACACNNACACCAAACCAUUUACCUAUACNAAAGUAUAGGCGAUAGAAAUUUUAAUCUGGCGCUAUAGAUAUAGUACCGCAAGGGAAAGAUNNAGAUAAACCACCUAAGCACAAAACAGCAAGGACUAGCCCCUGUACCUUUCGCAUAAUGGAUUAGCUAGAAACAAUUUUACGAAGAGAACUAUAAGCCAAAUUCCCCGAAACCAGACGAGCUACCCAAAAACAGCUAAAAGAGCGCACCCAUCUAUGUAGCAAAAUAGUGGGAAGAUUUCUGGGUAGAGGUGACAAGCCUACCGAGCCUGGUGAUAGCUGGUUAUCCAAGACAGAAUCUUAGUUCGACCUUAAGCUUACCCACAGAACUUCCUAAUCCCCCUGUAAGCUUAAUUGUUAGUCUAAAGAGGGACAGCUCUUUAGACACUAGGAAAAAACCUUACGGAGAGAGUAAAANCCNCCUCAACUACCAUAGUUGGCUUAAAAGCAGCCAUCAAUUAAGAAAGCGUUCAAGCUCAACAUUAACGACCUCNAAAAAUACCAAACACAUAACUGAACUCCUCACAUCACAUUGGAUUAAUCUAUCACCAUAUAGAAGCAAUAAUGCUAAUAUAAGUAACAUGAAUACUUUCUCCACUGCAUAAGCCUAAAUCGGACCGAAAGCCUCACCGACACUUAACAGCCAGGCANCAGCAAACACAAACAAGCCCAUGCUACCUUCACUGUUAACCCAACACUGGCAUGCNCUCAAGGAAAGGUUAAAAAAAGUAAAAGGAACUCGGCAAACUCAAACCCCGCCUGUUUACCAAAAACAUCACCUCUAGCAUUACUAGUAUUAGAGGCACUGCCUGCCCGGUGACACACGUUUAACGGCCGCGGUACCCUGACCGUGCAAAGGUAGCAUAAUCACUUGUUCUUUAAAUAGGGACUCGCAUGAAAGGCACCACGAGGGUUUAACUGUCUCUUACUUUCAACCAGUGAAAUUGACCUGCCCGUGAAGAGACGGGCAUAAAAUAAUAAGACGAGAAGACCCUAUGGAGCUUUAAUUUAUNUAAUACAAUCAAAAACCUCACAAACCCACGGACCUCUAAACNUACUACACCUGUAUUAAAAAUUUUGGUUGGGGCGACCUCGGAGCAUAACAAAACCUCCGAACAAUACAUGCCAAGACCACACAAGUCAAAGCGAACUAACNNCCAUAAUUGAUCCAAUAAUUUGAUCAACGGAACAAGUUACCCUAGGGAUAACAGCGCAAUUCUAUUCUAGAGUCCAUAUCGACAAUAGAGCUUACGACCUCGAUGUUGGAUCAGGACAUCCUAAUGGUGCAGCAGCUAUCAAGGGUUCGUUUGUUCAACGAUUAAAGUCCUACGUGAUCUGAGUUCAGACCGGAGCAAUCCAGGUCGGUUUCUAUCUAUUGUGUAUUUCUCCCUGUACGAAAGGACAAGAGAAAUAAGGCCCACUUCACCANAAGCGCCUUCAUUACAUAAAUGACCUAAUCUCAAUUUAACAAAAUACCACAUACUCUACCCAAAAACAG